CGCUGCCGGCGGGCGAAAAGGUCGCCUCGUUGGCGGUGGGGACGCCAUGGCCCGUGAGCUUAGCUGUCUCGGCACGGGUGGUGGGUGAGAUGGACGAUGGGCCGCUGCUUGGAGAUUCAGUGGGCCGCAUGGUGGGACGUACUGGGCCACAUGGGUGAGAUGGCCGGUCUUUUUCUUUCUGUGAUGUUCCUACUUAUUUACUCGUAUGGAGAUGUAAAUUAUGGAAAGCGCAUCUACACAAAUGGGAA
rnacentral:lncRNA from 1 species